rnacentral:lncRNA from 1 species
AUGGUUAUAAGAGUUUAGAGCUCAUAAAGCUUCGAGACAAACAGUUUGCAAGACAACAUUGUCUAUACCUACCAAUUUAUGAAAAUAUACUACUAUAAAACAAAAUCGUUAGCACUAAUAAGAAACCAAACUAAGAGUAAAUAAAUAAAGCAAUCAUUAUGUCGUGGAAGAAUUGUUGCCUUAAAAGCAAAUUCGUCUUCAUCGGUGUAAUCUUCUAGUGGAUAUCGCCCUUCAAGGUUAACAUAGUAUCUCAAUAUUUGUACACCCAAAUAAAGAAAGUGAAACACAAUUGAUAUUAUUUUUCUCGAAAGGAAUCGAAACAAAAAAAAAACAAAAAACAAAAAACAAAAUCAAUUGGUGGGAAAUCUUAUUGGAAAAUAAACUGGAAGAAAAUCGGCGAAAUCACACUAGGUUGAAUUUCCAAAAAAGAUCGGAGGGAUCAUAGACGAUCUCGCUUAAAACCCAAUCUUCUAGACAAAAUUUUGCUCUCGUAUAAUUUCGUAGAACACCAUAAUUUAGAGAACAAAGAGAAGUUGUUUUUCUCUUGUUGUGUUAUGUGAAAAAUUACGAGAAUGACCUCCUGUUUAUACAGUUUUCUAAAUGACAAAAUAGUAAAACAGCCGUGUAAAUUUCCAAAAAUUGCAUAGGAUUUUCUGCAACAAAAAAUAUUCUGAUUUUUUUAUGCAUUACCAACACCAGUUUGAGCCAAGAAAGAGGUUCCCGUAUGAUCAUAACCUCAUCCAUUGUUGCCCGAGACACAACAGGAAGAUGGCCGAUGGCUGCGUGAAAGAAAGCGCCCUCCUCAUCCCUAAUAAUCAGCCCGUAACCUACCUACUGCCCAUCCUCACUAAAAGCAGUGUCAACAUUGCACUUGACAUGGACUACUUGUGGUCGACACCAGCUAGCAACGGGAGCACAACCGUUUGAACAACAGUAGGUUGCACCUGCUGAUAGGCUAAAGCGCAGUAGCUCAGUCUUGCCUGAAGCGAGUAGCAAAAAUCCCAUUUGAGGCCGCUGUAGCUGUGUCCAUACACCAGAGAAACCGAUUAUGAAAAUAUUAGAGAGACCAAGCAGUAACAACCACUCUACCAAGCAAAGGACUAUCAACACCAAGUAGCAACGAAGAGAAGCAGUUAGAAAAAGACACUGACGGAAAUGUAAUAGCAGAUAAAGACCAUACCUGAACCGCAAAAGAACAACCCAUAAGUACAUGGCCAAUGGGAGCCCUUUUCAAGCAAACACUUGGGCGGACAAAUGCUACUCCAAACAAAAGACAAGUUAGUACCCUCGCUUACAUAAAAAAAACUCACCUUUCGAAAAGUAUCUAGGUUUGAAGAGACGACUUAAAAGGGAGUUCGAAUUUGAAAGAAUCCACCUACCUUAUUUGCCAAGCAUGGCUAAACUGAAGUAGUAAAGAUCUUAAAAGCCUGUACUACCCACCUUUUUUGUAGUACAAAGUCUAUCCGAUGAUGCCCAAUGAAGAUUUGCCAAAUUACUAGAGUUUGAAGCCCAUCAAUUCGAGUUCAUAAGCCGUUGCAAACCCAAGUCAUGUACUGACUGGAAGGAGGAAAAUGCUCAUACAAUACAUUGGGAGCGCCUGUCCAAUUGUCUUAAGCACAACUUCCAUACCUGGUCGAGAAAGAAACCAGAUUUUCUAAUUAAAAAGUAUGCUUACAGAGCCUUUCCUAAAUAAAACUGAAGACUUCCUUUAUUUAUUUAUUUAUUACAAUUGAUAAGUGAUGGAAGAGCCAGAUAGCGACCCUACUCAAUCAAGACAUCCACCCCUAACAUCGAUUGAACCAUAG